rnacentral:snRNA from 13 species
AAAAAGGGCUUCUGCUGUGCUUAGCACAGGCGGAGUGGUGAUUAUCACGCCGCCUGCGGAAUCGCCAUCAAGAGAUUUCGGAAGCACAAUUUUUAUAACUGGGACUGCCGGUGAUCACAUGUCCCGGCGUCCCG